rnacentral:rRNA from 1 species
GGGGACAACCCGCCGAAAGGCGGGCUAAACCCGCGUACAUGCCACCGGGGCAUCCCGGAGGCAGGAAAGGCUUCGGCCGGACAGGGAUGGGCAUGCGGCGCAUUAGGCAGUAGGCGGGGUAACGGCCCACCUAACCGACGAUGCGUAGGGGUUCUGAGAGGAAGGUCCCCCACACUGGUACUGAGACACGGACCAGACUCCUACGGGAGGCAGCAGUGAGGAAUAUUGGUCAAUGGUCGGGAGACUGAACCAGCCAAGCCGCGUGAGGGAUGAAGGUACAGAGUAUCGUAAACCUCUUUUGUCAGGGAACAAAGGCGGGGACGUGUCCCCGGAUGAGUGUACCUGAAGAAAAAGCAUCGGCUAACUCCGUGCCAGCAGCCGCGGUAAUACGGAGGAUGCGAGCGUUAUCCGGAUUUAUUGGGUUUAAAGGGUGCGCAGGCGGUCUGUUAAGUCAGCGGUCAAAGCCCGGGGCUCAACCCCGGCCCGCCGUUGAAACUGGCAGUCUCGGGUUGGAGAGAAGUAUGCGGAAUGCGCGGUGUAGCGGUGAAAUGCAUAGAUAUCGCGCAGAACUCCGAUUGCGAAGGCAGCAUGCCGGCUCCACACUGACGCUGAGGCACGAAAGCGUGGGUAUCGAACAGGAUUAGAUACCCUGGUAGUCCACGCAGUAAACGAUGAA